CCGUGAGAUUAAGACCUGAGCUGAGGUCAAGAGUCAGAUGCUCAAUCAGCUGAGCCACCCAAGCAGCCCAAGAUGAAACAUAUUUUAAGGAAUGUAGAAGCAUCCUUCUUAGCAACUGGCAUGUUUCCAGCUUAGCUGCUGACGGCAUAAGACUAGAUCUGGAGCCCGGGAAGUCCACGAUCAAGGUGCCAGCCAGUUUCGUUCCUGGGGCGAGGAGAGGCCUCUUCGUGGUUUGCAGAAAGCCAUCUCCUCGUUGUACCCUCACAUUGCAGAGAGAGAGAGAGAGGGUCCCGGUCUCCCGCUCUUCUUAGAAUGGCCCUAAUUCCACCAUGGGGGCUUCAUCUUUAUGGCUUCUUUUAAAUCUAAUUAAUGUUCGAAGGUUCUACCUUCAAAUUCCAUCACAUUGGGAGUUAGAGUUUCAACAUAGGAAUUUUGGGAGGACAUAAACAUUCAGUCCAUAGCACUAAGCUUCAAUUUCUUUAUCUGCAAAAUAUAUAUCACACCUAUUUGUAAGGUUUAACAAUGAAAUAAGAUUUUUAUAAGGCCUUAGCUCAGUCUCAUAAUAAAAACAAAGUAUUCAAACAUUUCCUGACUAUGUAUCAUGCACUGUUGAAGAAAAUCUAAAGAAUAAUAACGAUUUAUGGAAUGCCAUUCUUUCAGAACUACGCUAAAUGCCUUUAUGCAUGUAUUCACUGGAUCCUUCAUAACACCCUACAAGUAUCAUUAGCAAUGCGAGCUCUUGAAGAUUUUUGAACAUCAUGAUCACCAUGCUAACAAGUUGCUGUGAUGGAAAAGUGUAGGAUGGAUUGAAGGAGGAAGAGUUGGAUGAGUGAGUCCAAUUAGGAGGCCAUGACAGAAGUUGGGGUACGGAGAAGAGACGGGGUAAUCGGUUUGGGAAUGGGUAAUGCUAAUGUGUGAAAUAAUGCAAAGGAAGAGUCAAUAGAGCUUACUAAUCCAUAUUGAGAAUGGGGAGGAGAGGCAAGAAUACUAGGUUCGAGCUAGGAUUAAGCUAUAGAGACCAGAAUUGUACCAAUUGAAUGGACUGAAUAAGUCAAGAGAGGGAGAGAAUACUAAAGAGAAGUUCCAUUCUAGAUAAUGCUGAAAUGGAAAUGGUAGAAAGACAUCCAAGUAGAAAAGAGAAAGUACCCAGAGAAAUGUAUAAAGUUGCACAACUGCGAGGUAUUAUUGAAAAGAUUUUUAAAGCAAUUCUCUUAGUUUUUACCUGCAUCUUUGGGAACAAAGUGUUGAUCUCAACCUAACCAAUUCAAAUGGGAAUGAUUAAGCUGAUCACAAGGUAUGAUAUAAUCUUCAUAUGGAUGUAUGAAGAUUGUAACUCAAAGGCAAAUGUCAGGUUCACUUUAUAAUAAUGGAGAGAGAAUUGGAGACAUAAAAGCCUUUUAAUAUUGUAUGUAGUUGAGAAUAACCCUAUGGAAAAUUGAAAAUAUAUCCAACAACUUCAAUUCUGGUUUACAUUAAGCUGCUGGGUUCAAGUAUUCCAACAUGAUGUUACUGUUAUGAAAUAAGUUUAGAAAAAUCAAGAGAAAACAUUGUGUAAAAUGGUUUUGUACUAACGGUAUUGGGAUCAGAGCAAAUAAAGCUUUAUUGUUUAAGAAGUCA